ACAGAUGAUGUAUAUUAAUAUUAUUCCUUUCAGUGUACCUAAUAAAUAGUCUAUCAGUUAGUAAAGACAGUUUCAAGUAAUAUUGCAAAAAUGUAUAAAACAAAACAUCCUCUAUAGCAUCUUUAAGGUUACUACAACUAGGAGAACAAGGUAACAAUCAUUCACCAUUUUUUGCAUGUAUGUGGUUUUGUAUUUGUUAUUUGUUAUGUUUGUUUGGUUUAUUUUCUUGUUUCAGUUUUUCAGUAUUUAUUUUUUUCUAGCUUUUAUGGCAUGGUACAUUGUUGUGUGAUAGCUCUACAGAAUGUGAAUAAUAAACUGUGACUCAUCAGUGAAAGAGUAGACCAUUUAACCAUACAUCUAAACAAGUUGUUUUCCAAAUUUGAGGAUGAUAUCUCAAAAAUUGAGCUUUCGGUAAGAUUUUGUUUGGCUGAAGUCUCAAACUUUUUCCAAUGGAUGCCAGCAAAGCCCCACUGGAAUUUUUGAUUUGCAGAACAGUAUAAUUUAUCCCUUGUUUUUGCCAGGCACCGCAAGCGUUUUUGAUAAUUUUCGCAAAAAUGUAAUGGCCUCCAGAAUAUUUCGUUGUAUGAGUAUAUGAACAUGCAAUAUAUCAAAAGAAAAAGCAGACCCUCUGCUUUUAAACAACAACAAAAACAUUUUAUUCUAGUUUUAUGCAUUCUUUUUUCAUCAACAAUUGAAUGUGGGUAAGUUUCAUUUAAAAAAGCAACCUUUUGAACAAAAAGCUGAGAAAAUCUCAUUUUUGUCAAAAACUACAUCCAGAUGGGAUUCAGAAUGAUGAUCAAAACACAGAUGGAGUAGAUCAAGUCCAUCAACACCCCCAAAGCUUCAGACCUAUACCUUGUCCUGGUUCAACAUUUCAUUCAGUGAUGUUAGGCAGUUUUGAUUUAUAUGCUGUUUAAUGUUGGUGAUAGUGUUAUUUUACAUAUGCAUAUGAUUACAUAUGAUAUUGUUUGUUCCUGCUUCUUCACUUGUGUUUUGAUCAGGAGGUUUUGUACUCUUUCAGAAGAUGUAAUAGCACCCCCUACUGUAUAACAGUGAAAACACGGAAAGCUUCCGGACUUUUCCGUCAAUAGGCCUAUUUCACAAUAUGGCGGCCGAGACCAGAAGUAGGGAAAACUCUUUUCCGGUGAAAGCACUUCCAGAACAAUGGCGGAGAAUAAAAGUAGUCAAUCUUGUAGUGUGCCUUUGUGUUACAACUCAAAGAAGAAACAACCGUACUUGUCAUUUCACGGCUUUCUAAGCGAUGAAAAUGUGAAAAAGCGGUGGAUUUGGGCUAUACGAAGAGAUGAGGGGGCGUCAUUUACAGUGAGGAAAGGUCAGCACUUUUGUGUGUGCUAUGCACUUCACAGAGGAUGAAGUCUGCGUGCAUCCAGAGUCCAGUCGUAAAUAUCUUACACCACAGGCUGUGCCUUCCAGGUUUUCUUGGAAUAACUGGGGAGAUGUUAAGUCAUGCCAGACAUGGACUACAAAAAGAGGUGUCUGUGGUGAGCAGGAGGAAGCAGAUGUUGAAAUGGAGAGUGUUGAUACCCCCGGUGCUCUUGACGAGGCAAAAAUAAAGCAGCUGGAAGAACUGGUGUCAAGCCUUAGCAUCUCUCGAGCUUUGCUGGAGAGAUGUAUUUCUGAUGAAGACUUCAGAUACUUCACAAGGCCAGAACAUCUGUUCAUCGGACCAAACACAGCCAUCUACUGAACCUCUCACUGACAGAUGAGGAAGACAGGCCCUCAUUCCUCCAUCUUUUGAAGUCACCAGGAAAGACCAGCUGCAGGUUCCAAUGAUGACCAUCCUGGAUUCGGUCAUCAGAAGCAGGUCCAAACUCAUGUCCCUGUGGCAUGACCAGGCCCUGAGCAUGAUCCACUUAAAUGACAAGCUCAACAUCACUCACCUGAAGGUGAACACCAAGACCCUUAAAUUAGAGCUCAGGUUGUGGAGAAAGGCCCAGUGAUGGAGGAAAUCAAGGUGAAAUCGUGAUAAUCAAUUACUGCCAGAAACUAGCUAGCUCUGUUCCUCAUGUUUUGUUUUUUGUAAUUUUUUAUUUUAUUCAUUAUUUUGGUGGUAAUAAAGUAUAUGUAAAUCCGUAUAAAACAUUUUAAAUGUGUGUUUUUUGCCUUUCUUGGCCAUGUUUACUUCACACACGUCAAAAGCAAACUUAGAGCAAUCAUGAAUCAGACGAUUUACUUUUAAACUACUGUCAAUAUUAUGAUUUUAUGAGAUGAUGCUGAUGCUAUAUAUGAGGUGGGUUUUGCUGCAUCUAUACUACCCUUCUCUACCUCUAUCCAUCUAUUCUUGUUUAUUCAUAAAUUUAUAUUCGGAGUGUGCCAUAGGCCUAUAUAUCAACUAUGAUGAAAUCAUAAUUAUUGUUUUAACUGUGUUAUUUGACAUUAUCGAGUAUAUCCCUCACUUUACAAAAACACGUCCAAAGAGAGCACAAAUACGCUACAUGAUGUAGUAGGUUAGACUGUGGAAAAACGCCAAUUAAUAUAAUGUUGGAAGAGCAAAAAUAUAUAAGUUGAACUAAUUUUCAUGCUUGGUAUUAUUAAAGAAGACAUUAUAUUAAGUCUGCAAAAAUGUAUUUGAAAAUAAAUCAAAUGAAGGGAUAUUUUCAUCCCUAAUAAUAAAAACAAAUCCAGCCAAUAUUUGAUCAAAAAAAUAAAAUAAAAUUAAGGCCACCUAUAGGCUACACAUGCAAUAUUGUAAUGCAUAAAACAGAACAUAUUUGUAGUUUGUGUUAAUGUGUUAAUAGUACCCCUUUUACGAUAAAGGAAAAGUACAACAAUC